rnacentral:rRNA from 1 species
UCGCAUUAGCUAGUUGGUGGGGUAAAGGCUCACCAAGGCAACGAUCCGUAGCUGGCUUGAGAGGGCGAUCAGCCACACUGGGACUGAGACACGGCCCAGACUCCUACGGGAGGCAGCAGUGGGGAAUCUUCCACAAUGGGGGAAACCUCUGAUCCAGCCAUCGCCGCGUGUAGUGAUGAAAGGCCUUCGGGUCGUAAAGUUCUUUUGGCAGAGAAGAAACAGGUAUCUCAUUAUACUGCAAUUGCCUUGACGGUAUCUUCUGAAUAAGCCCCGGCUAACUACGUGCCAGCAGCCGCGGUAAUACGUAGGGUGCAAGCGUUAUUCGGAAUUACUGGGCGUAAAGCGUGUGCAGGCGGUUCGGAAAGUAAGAUGUGAAAUCCCAGGGCUCAACCUUGGAAGUUCAUUUUUAACUUCCGAGACUAUGAGUACGUCAGAGGUUGGUAGGAAUUCCACGUGUAGCAGGUGAAAUGCGUAGAUAUGUGGAGGAAUCACCCAGUGGCGAAGGCAGCCCCCUGGCAUAAUACUGACGCUCAGGCACGAAAGCGUGGGAGCAA